UAAUCUCACUUCAUCAGAUUUUAUUGAUGGAGGUGGACCUGGACUCUGUUGUGUCAUUACAACGAGUCUGAAAUGUGUGAGUGCACGCUGCUGUUGCAGCGUCUUCAGUGUGAUAAGCAUCUUCACUGAAUCAAGUUCCUUUGGGACACGUGCAAUGUGGGCUCUGUGCUGGCAAACUGUCUUUGGACAAUCUUGACA
rnacentral:misc_RNA from 1 species